AAGAGGGCAGGAUAAGAGAAUUUGAGGGUAAAUGCAAAUGAUUUCUCUUAGGGAACUAGGCUGGAGCACUAUCGAUAGCACCAAGUGUUUAGUGGUAUUAAGUUUUCGGUCCUUGGAUGAAAAAACAUACGGUUACGAUGAUGUGGGCCCUAGGGUUGAGUAAGUUAUUUGUUGAAUAAUAUAAUCUAACGGAUAAAAAUAGUCAAAGGGGUAAAUCUAACGGCGGAAAACUCGAUAGCAUCAAGCGCUUGGUGCUAUCAAUAGUAUCCCAGCUGGACUCUUCUCUUAGGGUACAUUCUCUUAGGGUACAUUAAGAAUUAGCAAAAUAUAACAAUAGCUAGCAACAUAACUCAACAUCAUACCAGUAGUUGAAAAGGUAGAAGUAUAAAUUAGUUGCAGUUUUUGAAAUGCUAUUUGAACUUUAAAAUAUUGAAUUAUAUUGGUGAAAUAAUAUAUGUUAGAAUUUGAAAGUUUUCAUUAGUGCAGUUGUAGAAUGUUCCCUUAAAUAGCAGUACAGAUUAUCAAAUUUUAAAAUAUUCACUUUUAAAGUGAAAAAUAUUGUUUUUUUUUUGAGAAAAAGGUAGCGCGCUACCCGCUUCAUUCAUUCAGUAAGUGAAUUAAGCUACAUGGGUGAGGCAGCAAGGCCUCGACGAAAGGCGAAAAUAUAU
rnacentral:lncRNA from 1 species